UCCGGUUUGACACCGGCAGUCUCCCUAGAGUGCCCGGCAUAACCCGCUGGUAACUAGGGACGAGGGUUGCGCUCGUUGCGGGACUUAACCCAACAUCUCACGACACGAGCUGACGACAGCCAUGCAGCACCUUCUCACUCGCUCCCCAGAAGGGCACCCCAACAUCUCUGUUAGGUUCGAGCGGAUUUAACCCAGGUAAGGUUCUGCGCGUUGCGUCGAAUUGAACCACAUGCUCCACCGCUUGUGCGGGCCCCCGUCAAUUCCUUUGAGUUUCAACCUUGCGGUCGUACUCCCCAGGCGGGGUACUUCCUGCGUUAGCGCCGGCACCCAGAGGGUCGCUCCCCCAGGCACCUAGUACCCAUCGUUUACGGCGUGGACUAC
rnacentral:misc_RNA from 1 species